GUUGAACUUGAGAAACAAGAACAGUCGAGACUUGGAUCGCGUCGAAGUGACAUCGCUGCUCUGCCCAUUUUCACAAGGUGUCGGGCCGCAGGACUAACCCCCUUCAAGGCACAGUGAUUCUCCAAUGUAGGGGAAACUUCUCCAAAACUUCGAGGCUUGAUCGACGUACGCACGAGGCGAAGUUUCGGAAGUUUGUUCGAUACAAUCAUCAGGCAAAUGCCCAAAGUGGGCCACUCGGGGAUGGUGCCCAAACAAGAGGACUCGGAGCUACUCUUAUUCUGGGAUUUGGACGGUUCAAUUAUGCAGGGACCCUGUAACCUAAGUCAAAAGUUAUACAUCUUCAAUGACAACUUGACAGACACAAAUAAUAACCAACCGAAGAAUCUCAAGAAUGAAUCAUUCAGUAGCUGGAGCAACCCAAACAUCACCAUCAUCCUCAGUGGGACGGAUCCUUCGGGUUCUGUUGCAACGUCCUGCGGAACACCGGCCUCGAAGCAGACAUCCAAGAUGCGACGUUGGUUAGCUGGCGUGUGUGGGGCAGACGAUUACUACUUCUGAACUCGUGUGGAGGAGAGUCUACUGCAGGGUGUGUGGAAUGUUUCAGGUCCUUGUAUAUUGGACGGAAACACUGGACCCGGUUAUAAUAUCCAAAAUGAGACUAUGGAUAAGUGGCCCUUAGAAAUCGGCUGUUUAUGCUUGGACCUGCGCUAAGACCGCCAUUAGCCUUUGGCUAAACAAAUCCUCAAACCGUCUGAGAGAGGAAUCCCUUUCAACCUCUUGCUGUGUGGUGGAAUUCAAGUCUGGCAGAGUAUCAUACUGAGCCCACUAAUGUGCCAUAAUGUGACCUUGGCACGAAUCUCAGAACGAACUAUAACCUAGGCAAAGAUGCCCGUCAUAUAGUUAAGAGGUAGUUAGGCUUUCAUCAACAAUCAGGUCUGGGGAUUGAAUAGUGGCACACGCAGAGUACCAGACUAUUGAAUAACCUUUCUUGAAAUCUUUUACUGAGCCAAGGUCAGUUUCACAAGCUGGCAGAUAUGUUCAGACCACAAGAGAUUAGCUAUGAAGAGCUGUACUCAGCUGACGAUGUGGCGAAGAAGUGAAAAAGGAAUACUAAAAAAAGAACAUAACCUCAAAAGUAAACGGGUUUCAAGUUUAUGUCCAUGUUUCACGGCCAGAUACACAGGACCAUAGAGAAGACUGGUCUGUAAUUGGCUCGUAAAGCUAAACCAAUUACAACAGCCUUCAGUUACUAGACCAACGUUAGAGCUACGGAAGAAAUAGCCAACCUAUGUCUUCCAGUAGUUUUCAAAAUUAACUGAAGAGGCCCCUAACGACUACCAGUUACUACACAAGUGAGCAAAAUCUCAACUGUUGCAGAAUUCAGGCCCUUAACUGUACCAUAAUGUGACUUUGGCGCAGGGCUCUGUAGCAAUGGGAAUCAGAUCUACCUCACUCUUGUAGGAGGCAGUCAGAAUGGGUCUGACACAAAUUCACACACAUGCUGCAGUAGAUUUUUUUUUUUUUUUACCAUAUAAUACAAGAAGAUAUACGCUUACAAAUCUGCCACAAAGAACAACAGCGAUACGCAAAACUAAAAUAGAACCAGAUGUUUGCGAAACAUACAAAUCAGCUGAUCAACCGAGUUAUUCUGGACAUACAAAGUGUCAAUAACAUGACUUUGAAUCAAAUGUGGUCUGUUGCUUUCAAGGAAGCGAAAAAUGGGGAUAAAAUUAUUAUUUUCUAUGACUUGAAUAAACAUUAAAUAACCUAAUAAAA